AGCAGCCGCGGUAAUUCCAGCUCCAAUAGCGUAUAUUAAAGUUGUUGCAGUUAAAAAGCUCGUAGUUGAAUUUCGGGAUCAGUACGCCGGUCGUGCCUUCGGUAUGUACUGGUGUCACUGAUUCCUCCCUUCUGAAGAACCGUUAUGCCAUUCAUUUGGUGUGACGGGGAAUCAGGACUGUUACUUUGAAAAAAUUAGAGUGUUUAAAGCAGGCUCGCGCUUGAAUACAUUAGCAUGGAAUAAUGAAAUAGGACGUUUGAUCUUAUUUUGUUGGUUUCUAGGAUCGACGUAAUGAUUAAUAGGGAUAGUUGGGGGCAUUAGUAUUCAAUUGUCAGAGGUGAAAUUCUUGGAUUUAUUGAAGACUAACUACUGCGAAAGCAUUUGCCAAGGAUGUUUUCAUUAAUCAAGAACGAAAGUUAGGGGAUCGAAGACGAUCAGAUACCGUCGUAGUCUUAACCAUAAACUAUGCCGACUAGGGAUCGGAUGAUGUUAAUUUUAUAAUGACUCAUUC
rnacentral:rRNA from 1 species